rnacentral:ncRNA from 1 species
AGAGUAGGAAACCGAGCGUAAUACUUAUUUCAUCAUAAAGUGACAGUAAAACAUCUGAAACUUUUCAGUAUGAAAUCAGUAUAAGUGCCGCAGAGACGGGGAGUUGCUUUGCGGACGAAAUGUCAGUGUGAUAUAUAAACGCUGUCUGCGGUUCGGCUUCCGCAUCCCGCU